CGGACAGAGCUGGCGUAUCUGGCCUGUAUUCAGCCGUGCGCCCGCUGGCCUCAGGGAUGCCGCUCUCCAGAUUGGGACGGUGGCCUGUGUGCUGGCGGGUGUGUGGUGCAUUUGCAGGUGGAGUGCGCCGAGGCGCUCGGUGCAGCGGCAUGAGCUCAGUCUUGAGGCCAGCCUCGCAAGAGGUCUGGUACCCGGGCUGUGGGGAGUGCUGUUUGUGCUGGGUGUGUGUUGUGGGCUGUGGACACGGGCUCGUGUGGUGCCGAGCUGGCAGUGGGUGGCGGUCGCGUGCGACACGUGCCGGCGGUCAGUUCGGUCCUGCUCGAGCUCACAUAUGCCCGUCCUCGGUGUAAAAGCCGGUCAUCUGUCCGACCCGUCUUGAAACACGGACCAAGGAGUUUAGCGUGUGCGCGAGUCAUUGGGCGUUGAAAACCCAAGGGCGCAAUGAAAGUGAAGGUCUCCCUCGUGGAGCUGAUGUGUGAUCCUGGGCACUUCGGUGUACACCGGGCGCAACAUAGUCCCGUCCCGACCGCAUGCGGUGGGGCGGAGACAGAGCGUACGCGCUGAG
rnacentral:rRNA from 1 species